rnacentral:pre_miRNA from 1 species
GUGGCUAUAACCUCUGAAGAUAUUAAAAGCCUAAUGGAACAACCCCAUUUAUUGGUGUAGUUUGCCUGUUCCAUUAGGCUUUUAAUAUCUUCAAAGGUUACUUCAUC